rnacentral:rRNA from 1 species
GCCCUAAAUCAAGCCUAAUAUUUACUGCACAAAACCAACCUCGUAUCUACGACCCAAUAAAACAUUUUUUUACUUUAGUAGAGGUGAUCAAAAAAUUUCUAAGCGCUUUAUAUUUAGUACCGCAAGGGAAUGAUGAAAUAGCUAUGAAAUAGCCCAAAAGCACCAAAUAGCAGAGAUUCCACUCGUACCUUUUGCAUCAUGGUUUAGCCAGCCCUAAUCAAGCAAAGCGAAACAUUAGUUUGAUUCCCCGAAACUAGGCGAGCUACUUCGAAACAGCUUAAUAGAGCCAACCCGUCUCUGUCGCAAAAGAGUGGGAUGAUUUCCAAGUAGAAGUGAAAAGCCUACCGAGCCUAGAGAUAGCUGGUUAUUCAGGAAAAGAAUUUUAGUUCACCCUUAAGCUUUUGUAUGAAAUUAAACAACCCGCUAAGCUUAAGAGCUAUUCAAUUAAGGCACAGCUUAUUUGAAAAAGAACACAGUCUUUAACCAAGGGUAAGUAAUAAAAUUCAUGUUAAGUGGGCCUGAAAGCAGCCACCUUUUAAAAAGCGUUAAAGCUUUCCAUAAACCUAUAGUAUUUAAUACCACUAGUUUCAUCGAACCCUUCAUUAGUACUGAAUGACCCUAUAAAUUAUAGGAGACACAAUGCUAAAACUAGUAACAAGAAAUAGACUUUCUCCAAAAUGCAAGUGUACGCCAAAACGGACCUACCAUUGGCCUUUACCGUAUUUGAUCCUAGAAUAGUAACACCCCCUAGAAAAACCUAUUCUGCUUUACGUUAACCUAACACAAGAACAUUACCGGAAAGAUUAAAAGAGAAAGAAGGAACUCGGCAAAUUUAAGCCCCGCCUGUUUACCAAAAACAUCGCCUCUUGAUAAAAUAUAAGAGGUCCAGCCUGCCCAGUGACACAGUUAAACGGCCGCGGUACCCUGACCGUGCGAAGGUAGCAUAAUCACUUGUUCCCUAAAUAGGGACUUGUAUGAACGGCAUCACGAGGGCUUUACUGUCUCCUUUCUCCAAUCAGUGAAACUGAUCUCCCCGUGAAGAAGCGGGGAUUUUACCAUAAGACGAGAAGACCCCAUGGAGCUUUAAACCCAACGACACCCCUCAACCCCUAACCCUUUAUAGUUGCUACAGCCCUGUUCGUUGGUUUUAGGUUGGGGUGACCGCGGAGCAUAAAUAAACCUCCACGACGAAUGGGACUACCCCCCUUACCCAAGAGCUACUCCUCUAAGGAUCAAUAAAUUGACGUAUAAUGAUCCAAGUAUUUGAUCAACGGACCAAGUUACCCUGGGGAUAACAGCGCAAUCCAUUUCAAGAGCCCCUAUCGACAAAUGGGUUUACGACCUCGAUGUUGGAUCAGGGUAUCCAAGUGGUGCAGCCGCU